rnacentral:rRNA from 1 species
GGUUAUGCUGGAAAGAGCGUAUGGUGGAUGCCUUGGCACUAAGAGCCGAUGAAAGACGUGAUAAGCUGCGAAAAGCUUCGGGGAGGAGCAAAUAUCCUGGGAUCCGGAGAUAUCUGAAUGGGGAAACCCGGCGGAGCAACCCUCCGUCAUCUUAACGCGAAUCCAUAACGUUAAGAGGGGAACCCGGUGAACUGAAACAUCUAAGUAGCCGGAGGAAGAGAAAGAAACAUCGAUUCUGUGAGUAGCGGCGAGCGAAAGCGGAAGAGCCCAAACCGGGAUGCGAGCAUUCCGGGGUUCGGACUGCGUAAGUGAUGAGCAAGCCUAGUAGAAUGGUUUUGGGAAAGCCAGCCAGAGAGGGUGAAAGCCCCGUACAUGAAAGGCGAGCGAGCAUGGCAGGAUCCAGAGUACCACGAGACACGAGAAACCUUGUGGGAAGGAGCGGGGACCACCCCGUAAGGCUAAAUACUACUUAGUGACCGAUAGCGCAUAGUACUGUGAAGGAAAGGUGAAAAGAACCCCGGGAGGGGAGUGAAAGAGAACCUGAAACCAUAUGUUUACAAGCUGUGGAACAUCGUUAUGAGAUGAACCGCGUACUUUUUGUAGAACGGUCCGGCGAGUUACGCUGGCUGGCGAGGUUAAGGACGAAAAGUCUGGAGCCGAAGGGAAACCGAGUCUGAAAAGGGCGACAAGUCAGUCGGAGUAGACCCGAAACCGGGUGAUCUAUCCAUGUCCAGGUUGAAGUUGCCGUAAAAGGCAAUGGAGGACCGAACCCACAUCCGUUGAAAAGGGUGGGGAUGAGGUGUGGAUAGGGGAGAAAUUCCAAUCGAACCCGGAGAUAGCUGGUUCUCCUCGAAAUAGCUUUAGGGCUAGCCUCAUACGAGUCUUGCGGAGGUAGAGCACUGAAUUUCCUAGGGGGCGUCAAAGCUUACCGAAGAAUAUCAAACUCCGAAUGCCGCGUAGAUGCUGUAUGGGAGUCAGACUAUACGAGAUAAGUUGGAUAGUCGAAAGGGAAAGAGCCCAGACCACCAGCUAAGGUCCCAAAAUGUGUGUUAAGUGGAAAAGGAUGUGGGAUUUCGAAGACAACUAGGAUGUUGGCUCAGAAGCAGCCAUACAUUCAAAGAGUGCGUAAUAGCUCACUAGUCGAGAGGUCCUGCGCCGAAAAUGUCCGGGGCUGAAACACACUACCGAAGCUGUGGAAUUGAUUUGAACAAUUGGUAGAGGAGCAUUCUUAAAGGGAAGAAGCUGUACCGGAAGGAGCAGUGGACUUUUAAGAAGAGAGAAUGCCGGAAUGAGUAGCGAGAGGAAGGUGGGAAUCCUUCCGGCCGAAUAUCUAAGGUUUCCAGAGUAAAGCUGAUCUGCUCUGGGUAAGUCGGGGCCUAAGGCGAGGUCGAAAGACGUAGUCGAUGGACAACAGGUUGAAAUUCCUGUACUAUGAUAUGACAGAACUGUGGGGACACGUGUGGAGAGCGUGAGCCGGGAGUGGAAAGCCCGGUGCAAGCGAAGUAGGAGAGAAGUUGGCAAAUCCGCUUUUCAAUCUGAAGACGUGAUGCGGACCGAACUGAUAGUAGGGAAGCACGUGAGCCAUGCGUCAAGAAAAGCCGCUAUUGUUCAUAUGAUACCCGUACCGUAAACCGACACAGGUGGAUGAGGAGAGAAUCCUAAGGCCGACGGGAGAAGCAUUGUUAAGGAACUCGGCAAAAUGACUCCGUAACUUCGGGAGAAGGAGUGCCAGUGAGAACUGGCCGCAGAGAAUUGGCCCAAGCAACUGUUUAGCAAAAACACAGGUCUAUGCAAA